rnacentral:rRNA from 1 species
GAUUAAGUUAUUAAGGGCGCACGGUGGAUGCCUUGGCACUAGAAGCCGAUGAAGGACGUUACUAACGACGAUAUGCUUUGGGGAGCUGUAAGUAAGCUUUGAUCCAGAGAUUUCCGAAUGGGGAAACCCAGCAUGAGUUAUGUCAUGUUAUCGAUAUGUGAAUACAUAGCAUAUCAGAAGGCACACCCGGAGAACUGAAACAUCUUAGUACCCGGAGGAAGAGAAAGAAAAUUCGAUUCCCUUAGUAGCGGCGAGCGAAACGGGAAGAGCCCAAACCAACAAGCUUGCUUGUUGGGGUUGUAGGACACUCUAUACGGAGUUACAAAGGACGACAUUAGACGAAUCAUCUGGAAAGAUGAAUCAAAGAAGGUAAUAAUCCUGUAGUCGAAAAUGUUGUCUCUCUUGAGUGGAUCCUGAGUACGACGGAGCACGUGAAAUUCCGUCGGAAUCUGGGAGGACCAUCUCCUAAGGCUAAAUACUCUCUAGUGACCGAUAGUGAACCAGUACCGUGAGGGAAAGGUGAAAAGCACCCCGGAAGGGGAGUGAAAUAGAACCUGAAACCGUGUGCUUACAAGUAGUCAGAGCCCGUUAAUGGGUGAUGGCGUGCCUUUUGUAGAAUGAACCGGCGAGUUACGAUUUGAUGCAAGGUUAAGCAGUAAAUGUGGAGCCGUAGCGAAAGCGAGUCUGAAUAGGGCGUUUAGUAUUUGGUCGUAGACCCGAAACCAGGUGAUCUACCCUUGGUCAGGUUGAAGUUCAGGUAACACUGAAUGGAGGACCGAACCGACUUACGUUGAAAAGUGAGCGGAUGAACUGAGGGUAGCGGAGAAAUUCCAAUCGAACCUGGAGAUAGCUGGUUCUCUCCGAAAUAGCUUUAGGGCUAGCCUCAAGUGAUGAUUAUUGGAGGUAGAGCACUGUUUGGACGAGGGGCCCCUCUCGGGUUACCGAAUUCAGACAAACUCCGAAUGCCAAUUAAUUUAACUUGGGAGUCAGAACAUGGGUGAUAAGGUCCGUGUUCGAAAGGGAAACAGCCCAGACCACCAGCUAAGGUCCCAAAAUAUAUGUUAAGUGGAAAAGGAUGUGGCGUUGCCCAGACAACUAGGAUGUUGGCUUAGAAGCAGCUAUCAUUUAAAGAGUGCGUAAUAGCUCACUAGUCAAGUGACACUGCGCCGAAAAUGUACCGGGGCUAAACAUAUUACCGAAGCUGUGGAUUGUCCUUUGGACAAUGGUAGGAGAGCGUUCUAAGGGCGUUGAAGCAUGAUCGUAAGGACAUGUGGAGCGCUUAGAAGUGAGAAUGCCGGUGUGAGUAGCGAAAGACGGGUGAGAAUCCCGUCCACCGAUUGACUAAGGUUUCCAGAGGAAGGCUCGUCCGCUCUGGGUUAGUCGGGUCCUAAGCUGAGGCCGACAGGCGUAGGCGAUGGAUAACAGGUUGAUAUUCCUGUACCACCUAUAAUCGUUUUAAUCGAUGGGGGGACGCAGUAGGAUAGGCGAAGCGUGCGAUUGGAUUGCACGUCUAAGCAGUAAGGCUGAGUAUUAGGCAAAUCCGGUACUCGUUAAGGCUGAGCUGUGAUGGGGAGAAGACAUUGUGUCUUCGAGUCGUUGAUUUCACACUGCCGAGAAAAGCCUCUAGAUAGAAAAUAGGUGCCCGUACCGCAAACCGACACAGGUAGUCAAGAUGAGAAUUCUAAGGUGAGCGAGCGAACUCUCGUUAAGGAACUCGGCAAAAUGACCCCGUAACUUCGGGAGAAGGGGUGCUCUUUAGGGUUAACGCCCAGAAGAGCCGCAGUGAAUAGGCCCAAGCGACUGUUUAUCAAAAACACAGGUCUCUGCUAAACCGUAAGGUGAUGUAUAGGGGCUGACGCCUGCCCGGUGCUGGAAGGUUAAGAGGAGUGGUUAGCUUCUGCGAAGCUACGAAUCGAAGCCCCAGUAAACGGCGGCCGUAACUAUAACGGUCCUAAGGUAGCGAAAUUCCUUGUCGGGUAAGUUCCGACCCGCACGAAAGGCGUAACGAUUUGGGCACUGUCUCAACGAGAGACUCGGUGAAAUCAUAGUACCUGUGAAGAUGCAGGUUACCCGCGACAGGACGGAAAGACCCCGUGGAGCUUUACUGUAGCCUGAUAUUGAAAUUCGGCACAGCUUGUACAGGAUAGGUAGGAGCCUUUGAAACGUGAGCGCUAGCUUACGUGGAGGCGCUGGUGGGAUACUACCCUAGCUGUGUUGGCUUUCUAACCCGCACCACUUAUCGUGGUGGGAGACAGUGUCAGGCGGGCAGUUUGACUGGGGCGGUCGCCUCCUAAAAGGUAACGGAGGCGCUCAAAGGUUCCCUCAGAAUGGUUGGAAAUCAUUCAUAGAGUGUAAAGGCAUAAGGGAGCUUGACUGCGAGACCUACAAGUCGAGCAGGGUCGAAAGACGGACUUAGUGAUCCGGUGGUUCCGCAUGGAAGGGCCAUCGCUCAACGGAUAAAAGCUACCCCGGGGAUAACAGGCUUAUCUCCCCCAAGAGUUCACAUCGACGGGGAGGUUUGGCACCUCGAUGUCGGCUCAUCGCAUCCUGGGGCUGUAGUCGGUCCCAAGGGUUGGGCUGUUCGCCCAUUAAAGCGGUACGCGAGCUGGGUUCAGAACGUCGUGAGACAGUUCGGUCCCUAUCCGUCGUGGGCGUAGGAAAUUUGAGAGGAGC